rnacentral:rRNA from 1 species
UAGGGAAUUUUCGUCAAUGGGGGCAACCCUGAACGAGCAAUGCCGCGUGAGCGAAGAAGGUCUUCGGAUUGUAAAGCUCUGUUGCCGGGGAAAAAGGAAGGAAAGAGG